UACGGGGGGGGCAAGCGUUGUUCGGAUUUACUGGGCGUAAAGGGCGCGUAGGCGGAACGAUCAGUCCGGUCUGAAAGCCCCCGGCUCAACCGGGGAGGGUGGCUGGAAACUGUCGUUCUUGAGGGCGAGAGAGGAGGGUGGAAUUCCUGGUGUAGCGGUGAAAUGCGUAGAGAUCAGGAGGAACACCCGUGGCGAAGGCGGCCCUCUGGCUCGACCCUGACGCUGAGGCGCGAAAGCGUGGGGAGCGAACGGG
rnacentral:rRNA from 1 species